AGAGGCUUCCAAAUGGAUGGCAGAGUCUAACAUGCCUUGAAGAAUUGACAAUCAGGGAUUGUCCAAAGCUAGCGUCAUUUCCAGACGAAGGUUUCCCACCAAUGCUGAGAAAUCUUAUUCUUGACAAUUGUGAAGGUCUAAAGUGUCUACCUGAUGGCAUGAUGUUGAAGAUGAGGAACGACAGUACUGACAGCAACAACUUGUGUCUCCUUGAAGAGCUAGAGAUAUACAGGUGUCCAUCUCUCAUUUGCUUUCCAAAAGGGCAAUUACCCACACCUUAAGAGUCUAAGCAUAUUCUGUUGUGAAAAUCUCAAGUCUCUUCCAGAAGGAAUGAUGGGCAUGUGUGCCCUUGAAUACUUUUCUAUAUAUGGGUGUCAUUCUCUUAUUGGAUUACCGAAAGGUGGGUUACCCGCCACUCUCGAGACACUCAGAAUAACUGAUUGUAAAAGGCUAGAGUCUCUACCAGAGGGAAUAAUGCACCAACAUUCCACCAAUGCUGCUGCUCUCCAAGCCUUGGAAAUCUCAAGUCUCAAGUCUCUUCCAGAAGGAAUGAUGCACUGCAAUUCCAUCGCCACCACCAGCACCAUGGACAUGUGUGCCCUUGAAUACUUAAGUCUAAAUAUAUGUCCAUCUCUCACAUCCUUCCCAAGAGGCAAGUUUCCAUCCACCCUUGAGCAACUUCACAUUGGGGAUUGUGAACACCUCGAGUCAAUUUCAGAGGAGAUGUUUCACUCUACUAAUAGUUCACUUCAAUCUUUAAUCCUCGGGAGGUAUUCUGAUCGCAAAACCCUACCAGAUUGCCUCAACACCCUCACAGGUCUAAGUAUUGAAGAUUUUGAAAAUCUGGAAUUGUUGCUUCCUCAGAUAAAAAAGCUCACUCGUCUUACAUCGCUUAACAUUCGUAAUUGUGAGAAUAUCAAGACCCCCCUAUCCCAAUGGGGCCUUUCCAGACUCACCUCUCUUAAACGACUCUCGAUUCGAGGCAUGUUUCCAGAUGCAACUUCCUUUUCGGAUGACCCCCACUCGAUUCUUUUUCCUACAACUCUCACCUCCCUUACCCUUUCACAUUUCCAGAAUCUGGAAUCCCUAGCCUCCCUGUCUCUCCAAACCCUCACCUCUCUUGAAGAGCUAGAAAUCGUAAGUUGCCCUAAGCUCCGGUCGAUUUUGCCAAGGGAAGGACUAUUGCCUGACACCCUUUCACGACUGUAUGUGGAGCGUUGCCCACAUCUAACACAAAGGUACUCGAAGGAGGAAGGAGAUGAUUGGCCCAAGAUUGCCCACAUCCCUUGUGUGGAGAUACAUGACUAAUCCAUCUGAGUAAUAAAUAAGUUCUAAUGAGGUCAUUUACUGGAAAAACGGUGUCAAUUUGAGAAAGGGGAAGAAUGGCGUUAUAUAGAUCUCAUUCCUAAAAUAGUGAUCAAUGAAGUGCUAUUUUAAUCAAAGUGCCACUCUGCCACUCCGCCAAUACACAGUUAGUGUUCAUUACAAGUAAUCGGGAUGAGCCUAGAUGUUUGAACUCUCCUUUGGUUCAGCAGCUUGCACUGAUUGGGCGUCCAUGUAAAAUGUGCUCUAACCAAGUGGAUUUCUUCAAAAGGAAGUGGAAUAUGAAGAAAGGAUAGAUUGUUCAGAUUUUGCCUGUAGAGGAAGGGAGAUUGCUGGGUGCUCAACACUUGAUGCUCAUUGCUCUGUUCAAGAAGAAUAAGAAACUGAGAGGAUCAGUUUCAGCCAUGUCAGGACUCUAAUCCAUGGCAGGCUUUCUCUGAGGUAGGUGCCCAGACAACAAAAGCAAGUCUGUUAGGACCCGAAAUGGCCAUCACAACAAACCAGCCACAGAAGCAACUUCUGGCCCUGAAACUUGGGGUUUUGGAACAGAGAGUUUUACAGCCACCCCUGGUGCCAGCUCUAAUAUUUCCAGACCCUCCAUUGGAGGCAAUAAUGCCCAGCUGUUUGUUGACUCAAAGAAGAUUGAGGGCAAGCUGGCUACUCAACUUGCUGGAUGGGCUGGUUUCUAACUUAUUUGGUGAUGUUAUAUCAUCCUGGGCACUUCUGGCCAUAAGAGAUGGGAAUAGGUAAAAAAGCAAAACAAAAAGGGAUUCAUGGCUUUCUGGGCAUGGUUAUGCUUGUAAGUAUUGAGUGUUUGCCUUAUGCAAUAGAAUACAACAUCUGCAUAUGUUCCCUAGUUUCCAUGGACUACUUACAAAUGUGUACUGUUCUGAAUGCCUCGAUUUUCAGGUCUUGAGCCCAAACAACAUCCACUGUCUCUUAAGACCAUAAAUGGUCAUCGUAACAUUUUAUUUGGUAUUGAAGUGGUGUCAGAUCUAAAUGCAUUAGCUGGACAAUCGAAUGGCGGUUACUUAUCUAACAGAUGUUGUUUUACUAAACCAUGGAAUAAAAGAAAACUCAACCCUCUCAUCCGUAAUUCAGAACCAUCUAAAGCCUGGCCAUGGAAUAAGCUCAAGCCUUUCUGUACAGAGAAGCUGGACUCUCUCAAAUUUUGAUUUGUAAAUAUCCAAAGCUAUGAUUUCAAAAGUCAUUAAAUGUGCCAAUCCCUGUUGACCUCAAUCAGAGCUUAAGGAGUGUGUUAGACUGUUACCAUUGAUCACCUCAGUCCAAAAGGCAUUCCAUUCAGGGAAGAGGAAAUAGAAGAAAAUGGCAGCUCUUGAUGUAUUUUGAUUUUGAUCAAGGCUUUCUUGAUGUAUACUAUGAUGUUUUGCUCAAAUUAAUCCUGAUGAUUUUCUUGAUUGGGAAGGUGACUUUUCCUCCAAGGAAGAGAAUAGAUUGUUACGAUUUUGGCAGAGUUUUCCCAGUGAAGGAAUUGAAGGAAGGGGAGAUUCCCGGGUGCUGAACUAUUGAUGUUCAUUGCUCUGUUCAAGAAGAACAAGAAACUUUUCAGGAUAGUCAAAAGCAUAGGAAAAGCUGAAGCUGAAGAUACCAUGCACAAAAACAGGAGAGUUUCCAUUGAAACCAGUCCAAAUUAUGAUUGAACCUUGGCAUUGAGCUGAUGCUUCAUAACGUGUUAUUAUAAGAGACAUAGGCUGCUCGAGUUGUCUGAAUAUACCCCAUAGUCCCUCUGAUGCCUGUACACAAGUCCUUGGGCGGCUCUAGAAAGGAAGCUUGAUAAAGAGCCAUUGUGCAUAAAAAAAAAAAAAAAAAAAAAAAGAAAACACCAAUAGUCAGUGUUCACCCUCAUGACAGUAACGCAGCAACUGUCCUUGAUUCUUAUGGUGAGUUUGGCCUAUCACAUUCACUUCUGCUUUGAAUUCUUUCUCAUCUUCUCCCACCACCUUCUCCAACUUCUUUUCAGCAACAGAAUUUCCAGAACCUGAUGGUAAUAUCCCUUUAUAGACAGUGUCAAAGGCUUCUACCAUCGCUUGUACUCAGGAUUCUGUGAUAAAGCUGCAGAUUUUUGAGGUUCAAGUGGUAGAAAACUAGAGAAAUUGCAGCCAGAGAAACGAAGAAGAAAAACGCAGAGGGGCCUAAGAGGACUGAGAGUAUUAGAAUUGCUUUAUUUUGGUUGCCUCUGCCUGAAGUUAGUUCACUGGACUUCAAUAUCUUGAUUAGAGCACUUCUGGAAACAUCAGUUUGAUCCAACCUCCCAUUUGAAAGAGGUAGUCUUUUCUUCCAACAGCUUCCAGUUCCAUUUGCAAACCUCAGGUCCUCAAAAAUAGCAACUGCACAGCAGGCUCCAACACCAAUCCCUGGGUUGGCAAUAUGGCAUUAGUUGGGUGCUUGAAGCUCUCCCAUAUACUGGUAUACAAUUUCCAUGUCCAAGCAUGGCACCAUGCACUGCUUCGCUGCUCACAUUACCAGUCUUUGUCUUCAUCUCUUAGCCUCUGGAGAACAAGUUGUCCAUUGGUAGUAAGCUCAACUUUUGAUCCUCUUGGCACCGGUUAACUUCCAUUUGCAGUCCAGAUAGCAAGAAGGAUAUUGAUCCUUUUCACUUGGAGAGGGUCAGAAUCCAAAUGCAAAUCACCAGAAGGCGAACCCCAUGUGGAGUUGUCAUCAGAGACAUGGAGAGAUGAACCCAAGCUUAUAUUACUAUAAGCUUGGCUAAUGAGUAACAAGUAGAGGUAGAGAGACGAUGUAUGUAAGUUGGUAUGUGAAUAAUUGGCCACCCGACUGCUUUUCUCUGCAUGUUGAUUAAGUUGAAAGAGUCUAGUGAAUAUUAUUUUCUUCUAUAAUUGAACAUUCUCCUGUAAUUGAAUAGUGUGAAAGCAAUUUUUUCUUCUUCUUCAACAAAUGAAUAUUGAGAGCAUAGGAUUACAAUAAA